UGCCUGGGGACAAAAACGCCCAUGGAGCACCGCAAGUUCUGUAACAGUCACCCUGUCCUGCAGACACUGGGAUUCCGUCUCCCAGGACAGCAGCUCCUCUUAUCUUGUGGCGGAAGACAACCUGGGCCAGCCCCUCUCCUCACACCAUGGUUAAUGAGAAGGGGAGACUGGAGGGGCCUGCGAGAUUGGAGGUGAGCAGGGUGAGGGGCGGGGAGCUGGAGCCCUGCGCAGGUGGCAGGCAGGAGGCCAGUCCCGGGCCCACGGGGAAGCCAAGCCCUGCGCCCCUAGGAGGGAGGGCCCGCACCUGUCCACAUGGGUGGUGCAGGGGCAACUGUGAUGGCCCUUGGUGGCUCUUGGUUGAGGGGCCUGUGUGCCCCCUUAGGAGGCAGCAGACGCACCAGCCCUGGCUCUGCACAGUCUGCCCAGAGGGUCUUUGUCCCCCCUCCACUGAGCCCAGCGCCACAUGAGCUGCAAGGAGAGCUGAGGUGCAGAUGCACAGAAGGCCAGGCUGGGUGGGAGCUGCAGUGGAGUGCAGAGACCAAAGGGGUCGGCCUUGGUAGGAGCACCCAUGGGUGCCCCAGACGCCUGCAGGGGCCAGAGGGGUCGGUGUGAGUGACAGCGGCUCUGUGGCUCCUUCGUCCUGGGCCUGCAUGACAUCCGUGGGGCGACCUCCAUACGGCAUAGCCCUGAGUGCUGCGGGUUUGGGGCACAGAUUCAGCUGAGGUGUCCUUCCUGUGCCCUCUCACUGGUCUCAUCUGUGCAGCCCCUGCUCAAGUAGCUCCCUGUGCUCCAGGCCUAGGCUAGGGGCCCUGGUAGCGGGUACAGGGCACAUGGGGCCUUCUGGAUGAGCACCCAGGUGCUGAGGGAUCUGGCACUGGGCAGCCUGUGGGAUCUCACACUGUCCUGCAGGCCAGGUGGUCUGGGCUCUGGGAUAACUGAGGCCAGGUGGGAGCCAGCAACAGAGGGGACAGGGCAUCACUGCCGUGGUCCUCACAGGACUUGAGCGGGCCCCUCUGGGGUCUCCUCUAUGGCACGAGACACCACGUCCACCUCAGCUGACAGCACCCUGGCCUGCUGCCAUCUGCCCCUCGGGGCAUGGAGACCCAAGGGCCUGGGCUGGCAGAAAGAGUAGACCCCGUCCCAAGGGUGCCGGAGCCUAGACCUUGGCUGUCCACGGAUAAGGUAGAAAAGACACGUGUGGGUGAGGCCUGGAGAAACAGGGCCCCAGUUCCAGCCCUGAGUCUGUACCCACCACUGGUGAAAAUGUGUCUACAGUGUCACAGUGGCACUGUUCACACCACCUGAGGUGGCAGGAGCAGCCCAGGGGUCCCCCUGCUGCCUCCCAGCUCCCUACAGGGCUUGAGAAAGGCCCUCUUCUCCUUCCCAGGGUGCAGUGGCAAUCAGACCUGCUGCCCCCCUUCUCUUGUGCAGCGUGUGUGUGUGUGUGUGUGUGUGUGCGUGUGUGCGCACAUGCACGCGCGUAUACAUGUGUGUGUGCACGCAGUGGUCACUGUGGCCCCUGAGGCUCCAGGGGAAUGACAGACUGGCCUGGGUGGGAGGCACCGCUGGGUUGGCCAGCAGAGGGCCUCAGAGACUGCUCCUGGCUGGGCCUGUGCCCUUCCCGGCUGGUACCCUACGGGAACCAGGGGAGGCCUGCAGCCUUGGCUCAGACUUCUCCAGAAGCUGUGCCCCCUGACCUAGUGGCACUGCCAUGGGUCUGGGAAGGAGGGGCUUGUCCUCCUGUGGGUGAGUGUCCUCCUGAGGGGCAGCAAUGCAGCAGGACAGCUGAGCCAGGCUUUGGGCUCAGGGAGUGCGGGGGACACCCAGAAGAUCCAGCAGUGAGUGCGUGGGCGGGUACCUGCCCCCUACUCCUCCACUUAGCCACUCCUUCCCUCAUUCACUGGUGGCCGCCUUCAUCCUGGCUGAGGAUCUGGGCACCCAGCACAUCCAGCAUGCUCUUAGCCCCAGAUAGCUCAGUCCUGGACACCCUGCUUCCAGGUGGAGCUUUAUAGGUAUUCUUGUAACAGCUGUUUUAUUAAUUUAUUUGAGAGGGGAUCUAACUGUGUUGCCCAGGCUGGUCUUGAACUCCUGGGCUCAAGGAAUCCUCCCGUUUCAGCCUCCCCAGUGCUAGGACAACAGGGGCCACCACUGCACCUGGCUUUGCUUGUCCUUAAGAACAAGGGAACGUCAGCCUGGCAUCCAGGGUGUUGGUGGGCAUCAUCGGGCCCUGUGAAGGGUCAGGGCUCCAGUGGGUCGCUCGAGCCAGGCGGGCCAUGUCCCCGAUGCUGUCCACCCAGCCAGCCGAGGAGAGGCCUGGUCUGUGAGCCCUCGGCUGAAUUAACCUUUGUAAAACAACCAGUGUGUUCUCAGGAAGGGAGCCGGGGGCCAGCAGGAAAGAGACACAGGGGCUUUUGCUGCUCUAAGGAGUGGAGCUGUGUCUAAAGCAAUUUCUUUUCUGCCAGGAGUCUUUCCUGUCUGGGGUCACAAGACAGCUGUUCGCUGUCUUCACUGUCAGGAGCUUGGUCCGUGGAUGAGGGGAGGGCCCCUGCGGGCGUGCCCUGCCUGUGCAGCUCUCUGUGGGCCCUUGGUGGCCGGGGCAGCCCAGGGCAGAGUGGGUUGGACUAGAGUCCAGGACUGGACCACCCCUCCUUGGUGCGAGGGCCCAGGGGUCCAGGGACUGGGUGGAGGGGAUCAGGUGGGGUUGGGGCUCUGGCUCCCACUCUCACCACCUGCUGCCGAUGUUCCCCGGAUUGCUGGCAGAGCUGGGUGCCGGCCCGCUGUGGGCACCAAGGAUGUGGCUGGCGGCAGCUCUGGAGGUGUGGAUGUGCUGGCCCUCGUGGCAGCAGGAGAGCAUGCCUUGCCCCACUCCUAGCUGGGCCACAGAGCCGCAAGUGCCAACCCCAGGACCACAGGCCAAGCCAGGGCGCAUGGCCAUCAGAGACUCAGCUCCUGAGAGCUCUCUUUGCAGUAAAGCGUCAGAACUUGUGAACCUGUCCACCCACAUAUUUACUGCGUGCACACGUUGCCUUUGUAGAUAGAAAAGCACAAAGCAAAUCGCGAUAUUGGCAGAGGGGAGACACUGGCAAGGCCAGGUGGGUACCGGCUCAGCCUGCUCCUCCCCCACAGGACAGGCACAGAGGGGAGGGGUCCAGGGUGCCCUGGGGCAUUUGGGCCCUGCCCUACAGCGCCAGCAUGGGAACCACUGCCCCUUUCUGAGGAGAAGCUUGCCCAUGCCCGGCCCCUGUGGGCUGAAUUGUGUCCCCCAGCUCGUGUGUCAAGGUCCUGACCCUUGAUGUGACUGCAUGGGGAGGGCCCUUUUUUCCCAGCCCUCAUUUGCCCUAAUGACCUCUUGAAAAGCCGUCUCAAAAAUAAAUAAAUAAGUA